GACAGAGGGUGCAAACGUUGUUCGGAAUUACUGGGCGUAAAGCGCGGGCAGGCGGUCUUGCCAGUCUGAUGUGAAAUCUCUCCGCUCAACGGGGAGCAGCCAUUGGAAACUACAAGACUGGAGUCUGACAGAGGUAGGCGGAAUUCCGGGUGGAGUGGUGAAAUGCGUAGAGAUCCGGAGGAACACCAGAGGCGAAGGCGGCCUACUGGGUCAGUACUGACGCUGAGCCGCGAAAGCCAGGGGAGCGAACGGG
rnacentral:rRNA from 1 species